rnacentral:rRNA from 1 species
GGAUGAACGCUGGCGGCGUGCCUACUACCUGCAAGUCGAGCGAACGGACGAGAAGCUUGCUUCUCUGAUGUUAGCGGCGGACGGGUGAGUAACACGUGGAUAACCUACCUAUAAGACUGGGAUAACUUCGGGAAACCGUAGCUAAUACCGGAUAAUAUUUUGAACCGCAUGGUUCAAAAGUGAAAGACGGUCUUGCUGUCACUUAUAGAUGGAUCCGCGCUGCAUUAGCUAGUUGGUAAGGUAACGGCUUACCAAGGCAACGAUGCAUAGCCGACCUGAGAGGGUGAUCGGCCACACUGGAACUGAGACACGGUCCAGGCUCCUACGGGAGGCAGCAGUAGGGAAUCUUCCGCAAUGGGCGAAAGCCUGACGGAGCAACGCCGCGUGAGUGAUGAAGGUCUUCGGAUCGUAAAACUCUGUUAUUAGGGAAGAACAUAUGUGUAAGUAACUGUGCACAUCUUGACGGUACCUAAUCAGAAAGCCACGGCUAACUACGUG